UUGAGGAGGUGACGGGCGGUGUGUACGCUUUUUAGAGCUUUUUUCAUAUAAUUCUUCUUUAUCUUAUAUUACUAUCGAAUCCUUUUUCUUUUAAAUUUUCAUUUUAAUUUCCUCUAUUAUAAAGUAAGGUAGCUCAUCUAUUCCUAAUCUAUUGGCUGCACCUUGAUCUGACGUGAAGAAUGAUUUUCUUGAUGCUUACUUUCUUGUAGAGGUAAGCUGACGACGAUGGUAUACAAGCUGUUUUUUCUAAGAUUAGUAAGGUUUCUUGUGGAUUAUCAAUUUAAUGACAAGCUCCUCCGAAAAGGUCUAAAAAACCGCCAAGUCCUUUAAGUUUUAGCUGUUUGGCCGUACUUCUCUGGUGUUUUCUUUAUACUGAGAGGUAUAGUGGGGUAUCUAAUCCCAGA
rnacentral:rRNA from 1 species